AUGACCAUGUGGUUUUUUAGGUUCGCUAUAUUCUGUUGUCGCGCGUGGUGGUGUGUAGGCUGGGAAGUGAGGGCCUUAUUUUGUUUUUUCUUGUCUUUGGUAAAAGCCAAAAGUGCUACGACUUGUUAUUGGUGGAGCAGAGAUUUAUGUAUUUUAUUAUUUGUCUGCAUCCUUGUAAGGCGUGUGAUCAUCUGUUGGUGGAGUGUUGGUGUUUUUGUUGCUUUCAGUCUAGCUAGGCUCCAAGGAAGGGCCUUUUUGGAUCUGUCUUGUUUUCUUAUUAGCUUCUUGUCCAGGGGAGCAUUGGAUCUAGGUACGUUUUUUUUAGAGAAAGACUAUAUGGGAACCCCCUACAGUAUAAUUGGUGCAACAAACCAAAAUUGCAAGUACCAUGCCUUGAACCUGGGUGGGUGGGAAGGCAUCAGCCCCUUCCCACCACUAGGCUAUGCCUUAAUCUGCUGGAUCUAG
rnacentral:rRNA from 1 species